GACGAACGCUGGCGGCGUGCUUAACACAUGCAAGUCGAACGGAAAGGCCCUGCUUUUGUGGGGUGCUCGAGUGGCGAACGGGUGAGUAACACGUGAGUAACCUGCCCUUGACUUUGGGAUAACUUCAGGAAACUGGGGCUAAUACCGGAUAGGAGCUCCUGCUGCAUGGUGGGGGUUGGAAAGUUUCGGCGGUUGGGGAUGGACUCGCGGCUUAUCAGCUUGUUGGUGGGGUAGUGGCUUACCAAGGCUUUGACGGGUAGCCGGCCUGAGAGGGUGAACGGCCACAUUGGGACUGAGAUACGGCCCAGACUCGUACGGGACGCAGCAGUGGGGAAUAUUGCACAAUGGGCGGAAGCCUGAUGCAGAAACGCCGCGUGCGGGAUGACGGCCUUCGGGUUGUAAACCGCUUUCGCCUGUGACGAAGCGUGAGUGACGGUAAUGGGUAAAGAAGCACCGGCUAACUACGUG
rnacentral:rRNA from 1 species